AGCUCCAAUAGCGUAUAUUAAAGUUGUUGCGGUUAAAAAAGCUCGUAGUUGGAUUUCUGCUGAGGACGACCGGUCCGCCUCUGGGUGAGCAUCUGGCUCGGCCUUGGCAUCUUCUUGGAGAACGUAUCUGCACUUCAUUGUGUGGUGCGGUAACCAGGACUUUUACUUUGAGGAAAUUAGAGUGUUUCAAGCAGGCGUGC
rnacentral:rRNA from 1 species